UUACCCACCUCUGAAGGAUGGGAGGCUGAGUCAACCUUGAGCCUGGUGGGAUUCGAACUGCCAAGUUGCAGGCAACUGGUUGCAGCAGAAAUACCUUGCAGUACUGCACUCUAACCACUGCGCCACCGAGGUUCAACAGAAGAAGCAGCAG